rnacentral:misc_RNA from 1 species
GUAAUCAUAGAAGAUAGAAAAUAAUAUUGGGUUAUUUACAGUUUAAAAGAAUUACAAAGCUAAUAUAGGCUACAAAUUAAGAAGGAAAUUAAUAUGACAAGUUAUCAUUAUAAAGUAUGUCAAAAUUGCACUUUGUUAAUAUACUCCUAAAGAAGAGUUAUAGUACUAAUAUAGGAAAUAUUGGAUUAUUUAUAUUUUAAAUUAGUUAUAAAGCAAAUUUAGGCUACAAACUAAGGACAUUAAUUUGACAAGUUAUCACAUAAAGUAUGUCAAAACUACACCUUGUUAAUAUAUUCCUA